GGGUAGACCGCAACAGACGGAAAAAACGGAAAGUGUCCAUUAAAUUGCGGCGUCCUGGAUGCGAAGAGAUUGUUGUUCAAGGGCCUUUGCCAAAGGAUUGGCAAGGUUUCUCAGUCAAGUUUGCCGAGUCCCUUAAAGCUUGCUAUGCAGAUAGGUCAUACUACGGCCCUCCGGAUUUCUUGUGCCAAUACUGUGGUGCCUCCUUUUGGUUUGCUGAGUGUUCAAAGUCCAGGUCAUCCUGGACACAGCGUAAGAUGGUUUAUAAUCGCUGUUGUAAAGGCGCUAAGGUAUAUAUCCCUCCCUUUAAGGAUCCCCCGGCCUAUCUCCGGGAGCUCCUUCGAUUCGAUGGUACUUCUCGUGCUAAAAAAUUCAUCCGGACUAUACGUGAGUACAACUGUAUGUUCGCUUUCACUUCGAUGGGUGCUACCAUUGAACGCUCGUUUGGUGGCAGCCGUGGACCUAAGAUUUUUAAGAUCAGUGGUCAAGUGUCUCAUCGUAUUGGUUCGUUGGUGCCUAGCGGUGAUGAUACCCCUAAGUUUGCUGAGUUGUAUAUACAUGACCCAGCUAAUGAGAUUAGACAUAGGAUGAAUGCCUUAAAUCCAGAGGAUAAGCCUA